rnacentral:rRNA from 1 species
UACGGAGGGUGCAAGCGUUGUUCGGAAUUAUUGGGCGUAAAGCGCGCGCAGGCGGUCUGGAAAGUCUAUGGGUGAAAUGCCGGGGCUCAACCCCGCGCAUGCCCAGGAUACUGUCAGACUGGAGACACGUAGAGGCAAGCGGAAUUUCGGGUGUAGCGGUGGAAUGCGUAGAUAUCCGAAAGAACACCGGAGGCGAAGGCGGCUUGCUGGGCGUGAUCUGACGCUGAGGCGCGAAAGCGUGGGGAGCGAACAGG